UGUUAGCCUGUUAUAUCGAAGUAGUACACCCGAUUGUUUUGUUAAAUAUAUGUAUUGGUGUGUAUGUAUAUGUUAAUGAAAAAAGGUAGCGUCAGAAAAUCAGUUUUUUAAUGUAGCGUGAAAGUUAACCAUUUAUUGACUGUUUAGAGGUUGUAAGGCUUUUACCUAACUGUAUUUAGUAUUAAUGAUGCUGCAUUCUUUCCUCAGAAGCUAAAGUUUUUCAAAGACAUUUGUAGGGAGGACUUUGCAGCUAAUGGAGCUGAAGUAUUUUAUGUAAGGAGGAUUUUGCAGCCCAUAUAGAUUUCCUUAGGCUGAACCAAAACCUGCCAGACUAAAGUUGAUUUGGGAGAGAAAGACGUUGAAAACUCAGUCAUCUUGACAUUCUUCAAUGAGUUAUUGUUCAAUUUUUAGGCAAAUACUGUACACUUUGAAUGCUGUGAAUAAAACUAUAUUUUAAAUAUAUUUAAAA